ACGACGCUGGCGGCGUGCCUAACACAUGCAAGUCAACUUGAGGGAAGGAGCAAUCUGACUGAUGGUGGCGCGAAGGGUGACGUAACGCGUAAGUAACUUCGACCCAAGGUAAGGAAUAACGUCGAAGAAAUCGGCGCUAAUACCUCAUAAUGCAGCGGAUCCGCAUGGAUAUGUUGUUAAAGGUUUACCGCCUUGGGAUAGGCUUGCGUCUGAUUAGCUAGUUGGUGUGGUAAUGGCACACCAAGGCUACGAUCAGUAACUGGUCUGAGAGGAUGAUCAGUCACACUGGAACUGAGACACGGUCCAGACUCCUACGGGAGGCAGCAGUGAGGAAUAUUGGGCAAUGCACGAAAGUGUGACCCAGCAACGCCGCGUGGAGGAUGAAGGUAUUCCAUAUCGUAAACUCCUGUGAGAGCAGACGAAAGACAGAUUAUUAAUUUGGAUGACUGUAUGCUCAGAGGAAGCCCCGGCUAACUACGUG
rnacentral:rRNA from 1 species